GUCGAACGGUGUCUUCGGACAUAGCGGCGCACGGGUGCGUAACACGUAUGCAACCUACCUUACAUUGGGGGAUAGCCUUUCGAAAGGGAGAUUAAUACCGCAUAAGACAGUAGCUGGGCAUCCAGCAGCUGUUAAAGAUUUAUCGAUGUAAGAUGGGCAUGCGUCCAAUUAGUUAGUUGGCGAGGUAACGGCUCACCAAGACUUUGAUUGGUAGGGGAACUGAGAGGUCAAUCCCCCACACUGGCACUGAGAUACGGGCCAGACUCCUACGGGAGGCAGCAGUAGGGAAUAUUGGGCAAUGGACGCAAGUCUGACCCAGCCAUGCCGCGUGCAGGAUGAAGGCGUUAUGCGUUGUAAACUGCUUUUAUACAGGAAGAAACGACUCUUGCGAGAGGCAUUGACGGUACUGUAUGAAUAAGCACCGGCUAACUCCGUGCCAGCAGUCGCGGUAAUACGGAGGGUGCAAGCGUUGUCCGGAUUUAUUGGGUUUAAAGGGUGCGCAGGUGGUUUAUUAAGUCAGUGGUGAAAGACGGUCGCUCAACGAUUGCAGUGCCAUUGAAACUGGUAGACUUGAGUAAAGUAGAGGUGGGCGGAAUUGAUAGUGUAGCGGUGAAAUGCAUAGAUAUUAUCAAGAACUCCAAUUGCGUAGGCAGCUCACUUGGCUUUUACUGACACUCAUGCACGAAAGUGUGGGUAUCAAACAGGAUUAGAUACCCUGGUAGUCCACACUGUAAACGAUGAUAACUAGGU
rnacentral:rRNA from 1 species